rnacentral:rRNA from 1 species
GAUGAACGCUAGCGGCAGGCCUAACACAUGCAAGUCGAGGGGCAGCACAGAAACAGCAAUGUUUUGGUGGCGACCGGCGGACGGGUGCGUAACGCGUGUGCAACCUACCUUUAACAGGGGGAUAACGGAGAGAAAUUUCCACUAAUACCCCAUAACAUCGAUCAAGGCAUCUUGAUUGGUUGAAAACUCCGGUGGUUAAAGAUGGGCAUGCGUUGUAUUUGGUAGUUGGUGAGGUAAUGGCUCACCAAGCCUACGAUACAUAGGGGGACUGACAGAUUAGCCCCCCACACUGGAACUGGGACACGGACCGGACGCAUACGGGAGGCAGCAGUGAAGAAUAUUGGUCAAUGGGGGCAACCCUGAACCAGCCAUGCCGCGUGCACGAAGACGGCUCUAUGAGUUGUAAACUGCUUUUAAACAGGGAUAAAGCACAGUAUGUAUACUGUGUUGAAGGUACUGUAAGAAUAAGGAUCGGCUAACUCCGUGCCAGCCGCCGCCGUAA